GGCACUGGAAAGCACCACUGACCUGGUGCCAGGCACUGGGUCAUGGAGACCUCUGGACAUACACAAGUAGAUGGGUCAUACACAGGUACACAGGUCAUACACAGGUAGACGGGUGACACACAGGUACACGGGUGAUACACAGGUAGACGGGUGAUACACAGGUACACGGGUGAUACACAGGUACACAGGUCAUACACAGGUAGACGGGUGAUACACAGGUACACGGGUGAUACACAGGUACACGGGUCAUACACAGGUAGACGGGUGAUACACAGGUACACGGGUGAUACACAGGUAGAUGGGUGAUACACAGGUACACGGGUGAUACACAGGUACACGGGUGAUACACAGGUACACGGGUCAUAUGAUGCCUCUCGCACCACCUUUCUUCACCCCAGUAGCCAUCCACACACAGCCUAGUACUCUGUGCCCAGGGCACAAGGGUUUUCAUCAGUCCCCUUGGAGCGCAGUUGCUUCACCUUGAGGAGCCA